CCUACGGGAGGCAGCAGUGGGGAAUAUUGCGCAAUGGGCGAAAGCCUGACGCAGCGACGCCGCGUGAGGGAUGAAGGUCUUCGGAUCGUAAACCUCUGUCAGCAGGGAAGAACGGUCACUGUGCUAAUCAGCAGUGAAUUGACGGUACCUGCAAAGGAAGCACCGGCUAACUCCGUGCCAGCAGCCGCGGUAAUACGGAGGGUGCGAGCGUUAAUCGGAAUUACUGGGCGUAAAGCGCUCGUAGGCGGUAUGUCAAGUCAAGGGUGAAAUCCCCGCGCUCAACGUGGGAACUGCCUUUGAAACUGGCAAACUGGAGUGUGUGAGAGGUUGGUGGAAUUCCAGGUGUAGGGGUGAAAUGCGUAGAUAUCUGGAGGAACAUCGGUUGCGAAGGCGACUAUCUGGCACAUAACUGACGCUGAGGAGCGAAAGCGUGGGUAGCAAACAGGAUUAGAUACCCCUGUAGUC
rnacentral:rRNA from 1 species